rnacentral:rRNA from 1 species
AUGGGAACGCGAAGAACCUUACCUAGACUUGACAUCCCCUGAAUAACGUAGAGAUACGCGAAGCCCUUCGGGGCAGGGAGACAGGUGGUGCAUGGUUGUCGUCAGCUCGUGUCGUGAGAUGUUGGGUUAAGUCCCGCAACGAGCGCAACCCUUAUCAUUAGUUGCUACCAUUUAGUUGAGCACUCUAGUGAGACUGCCCGGGUUAACCGGGAGGAAGGCGGGGAUGACGUCAAAUCAUCAUGCCCCUUAUGUCUAGGGCUACACACGUGCUACAAUGGUGAGUACAGAUAGAUGCGAUACCGCAAGGUGGAGCCAAACUCUAAAACUCAUCCCAGUUCGGAUUGUAGGCUGCAACUCGACUCCAUGAAGUCGGAAUCGCUAGUAAUCGUAGAUCAGAAUGCUACGGUGAAUACGUUCCCGGGUCUUGUACACACCG